AAAAAGACAAAACCCUAGUUUCCGUACUCAACAUUUCCGUCUUAUUUAAAAAAAUUAUGAAAAAAAUUAAAAAGACAAGUCACGUAUAAAAUAUUAAUCAUGUUUUAUCAUAUAACAACAAUGAAAAUACGAAUUAUAAAAAAUUUUAUAUAAAACGGACAAUCAAAGUUGGACACGGAAAUCCAGGGUUUGCCUUUUU
rfam:Oryza glumipatula chromosome 2, whole genome shotgun sequence.